GGGGGGUGGGGCAACAUGUCCCAGCCUAAACCCUCUGCCAUUUCUGGGGAGAGCUACAGUCCGUGUGGGCGCACAAUCUGUGGAUGGGGCAAUCGUCGGCAGGGGAGAUCUUUGGAAGGCCCUGGACCAGGUGGACAAGGCACCCCAGUUUAAAGGAGGUAAAGAAGUCAGCAGAGAAAAUAAUCUCUAAACCUAGCCUCAGAAUACUCUUCUGUGAAGAAAAGCUCAACUUGGUACGUCAGCCCACAUUAGCUGGUCCUGCAAUGCAGGCUAAUAAUGUUCUGAUGGUGUAAAUGGUGGAUUGCAGGUGAAAGAAUAUUCAUGAAUUGCUCAGGCAAUAGGUAUUGCAGAAGACAGCCACAGCGAGCCAAAGUGUGAGCACAUUUCUGCGGGCACACGUCCUGCAACUACAUGAUCCUCAAGUAGAGUUACUCCACAUCAUUGCUUCAGCAUCAGCAUGGCUUCAUGGAGGGUUGAUCCUGCAGUGCAACAGAGAUAUCCCAAGCUUUAUCCCAGGCACCCAAAUCUCCCAGUGUAAUAGUGCUGGUGUAGAGAAGACAUGGAAACAAGUACGCAGGGUAUAAGAUCCCUGCGCACAAUACCAUCUGCCUCCUCCUCAUGCUCUUUCUUCCAUUCUGGCAGAGAGUUCUAUUGGAAUUCAGGUCUUUCUAAGGGCUCUCUGGACAGGUAUGCCAGCAUUUGUUUCCUUGAAAAGCUGUAUUUUUUAACCAGGACAGACUCCUCCUCCUCCAAAUGUGAGCACAAGCAGGGCAACUGCUCUUCCCACUAAAAAAAGGCUGCUGUACUCAUCUGGCCUUGGGUGGAUCCUAUAGAAAGUGGUGGUGUCACUCCAGCUUGUACUUCAGAAUGCUGUUGGCAUAACUUUCCAGAAUUGCUGGUCCUGGAGUUUCCGAAGGGUGCUUCCAAAUGUAACUAUCAAGGUUUAAUGCCUUCUAUAAUUUUAAUCUUAAUAACAGGCAUACCAAGUUUGGUGCAAAUUGGCUAGGCAGUUCACAAGUUAGCCCACUUCUACCUCAAAAGUCCAUGCAUCUGCCAUCUUGGAUUGGGGUGGAUGACAUCAUCACAAAAUAUGCCGCUGAGAUGUCCCUAUGCGGCACUACAUCUAUACCAAAUGUGGUCUAAAUUGGUCCAGGCAUUGCAAAGUUUAGGGGACGCACACAUGGACACAUACAGCAAAGUGAUCUCAUAAGACUACUUGCCACAGAAAAAGUAGGCUAAAACAUGUGAACAAGAAUAGCGAUUAAAGGAGAAAGCACAAUGUAAGAGCAGUGUGAGUACCAAUGCUAAAGGAAGACUGUGCAUAUAAUGCUGCAUAUUGUAACUUAAAAGGUGAAUAAAAAGUAAA